CCUANGGGGGGCAGCAGUGGGGAAUAUUGCGCAAUGGGCGAAAGCCUGACGCAGCGACGCCGCGUGGGUGAUGAAGGCCUUCGGGUCGUAAAACUCUGUCGGGUGGAACGAAUCUCCUCUCCUCUAAUACAGGGGGGGAUUGACGGUACCACCGAAGGAAGCCCCGGCUAACUACGUGCCAGCAGCCGCGGUAAUACGUAGGGGGCGAGCGUUGUUCGGAUUUACUGGGCGUAAAGAGCGCGUAGGUGGUUCGAUGAGUCGGAGGUGAAAUCCCUCGGCUUAACCGAGGACCCGCGUCCGAUACUGUCGAACUUGAGUGCAGGAGAGGAGAGCGGAAUUCCCAAUGUAGCGGUGAAAUGCGUAGAUAUUGGGAGGAACACCGGUGGCGAAGGCGGCUCUCUGGACUGCCACUGACACUGAGGCGCGAAAGCUAGGGGAGCAAACGGGAUUAGAUACCCCGNUANUC
rnacentral:rRNA from 1 species